AAACUGGCCUCCUGUUUUGGAAGGGUAGGGAGCUGAAACGAAUUUAAAGCAGAUAAGUUAAUGUAAGACUCAAUGCAGCAUUAAUGUCACCUAACACAGGGAGCGGGAGAGAGUGAUGAUAGCGUGAGCACGCUCAGAACAGAAGAUGUAAACAGCUGAGUGGGUGAGCAGGAACCUCAGAGACUGCAGUAGAAAGGACUAUGAAAGUUCAGAUGGGCUAAAUACUGCUUUUCCCCAGAGUCCCAUAGGGAGCUGGAAAGCUUCCCCAGUCAGCAGCAGAUGGGAACGCUGAAGGGGAGAGACGGGAGAAAGCUGACGACUGAAGCUGGAUGCAGAAGGAAAGAAACAAAGUGCAGAAAAAUCUACUUAGGUAUUUUAAGAUAAAGGGGUGGCCCAGGAAGAGAAGCCAAGCCCAACAGGCCAGUCUGCCGAGUUUGCCUUCCAUUAAGGCUUCAGCAGAAGGCAGUCUCCAGAGGAAAGCAAAUAACACUUGGAAGUCACUUGAUGAAGAUGGCAUUGGCACAAGAGAAGUCUUGAAGCACAGAGAUGGAAAGCCUAGACUACAGAGCACACGGGUUUGUCACUUGCUAGUUAUAUGCCCUGGG
rnacentral:lncRNA from 1 species